rnacentral:rRNA from 1 species
GAUGAACGCUGGCGGCGUGCCUAAUACAUGCAAGUCGAGCGAAGCGGGGACGGGUGAGUAACACGUGGAUAACCUCCUAUAAGACUGGGAUAACUACGGGAAACCGGAGCUCAACCGGUCACUAAUACAUGGAUCCGCGCUGCAUUAGCUAAUUGGUAAGGUAACGGCGUACCAAGGCAACGAUGCAUAGACGACCUGAGAGGGUGAUCAGCCACACUGGAACUGAGACACGGUCCAGACUCCUACGGGAGGCAGCAGUAGGGAAUCUUCCGCAAUGGGCGAAAGCCUGACGGAGCAACGCCGCGUGUGUGAUGAAGGUCUUCGGAUCGUAAAACUCUUUUAUUAGGGACGCGGUACCUAAUCAGAAAGCCACGGCUAACUACGUGCCAGCCGCCGCGGUAAUUA